ACGGAAGGCAGCAGUGGGGAAUAUUGGGCAAUGGGCGAAAGCCUGACCCAGCGACGCCGCGUGAAGGAAGAAGGCCUUCGGGUUGUAAACUUCAGUCAACAGGGAAGAAGAAAAUGACGGUACCUGUGGAGGAAGCCACGGCUAACUACGUGCCAGCAGCCGCGGUAAUACGUAGGUGGCGAGCGUUAUCCGGAUUUACUGGGUGUAAAGGGUGUGUAGGCGGGAUUGCAAGUCAGAUGUGAAAAUUAUGGGCUUAACUCAUAACCUGCAUUUGAAACUGUAAUUCUUGAGUGUCGGAGAGGUAAAUGGAAUUCCCAGUGUAGCGGUGAAAUGCGUAGAUAUUGGGAGGAACACCAGUGGCGAAGGCGGUUUACUGGACGACAACUGACGCUGAGACACGAAAGCGUGGGGAGCAAACAGGAUUAGAUACCCUGGUA
rnacentral:rRNA from 1 species